GCCAUCCGAGUUGUAAUCUAGAGAAGUGUUACCCGCGUCGGACCGUGUACAAGUCUCCUGGAAUGGAGCGUCAUAGAGGGUGAGAAUCCCGUCUUUGACACGGACUACCGAGGCUUUGUGGUGCGCUCUCAAAGAGUCGAGUUGUUUGGGAAUGCAGCUCAAAAUGGGUGGUAAAUUCCAUCUAAAGCUAAAUAUUGGCGAGAGACCGAUAGCGAACAAGUACCGUGAGGGAAAGAUGAAAAGAACUUUGGAAAGAGAGUUAAACAGUACGUGAAAUUGCUGAAAGGGAAACGCUUGAAGUCAGUCGCGUUGGCCGGAAAUCAGCCUUGCUUUAGUGGGGUGUACUUUCUGGUUGACGGGCCAGCAUCAGUUUUGACCGGUGGAAAAAGUCGAGAGGAAGGUGGCAUCUUCGGGUGUGUUAUAGCCUCUCGUCGUAUACAUCGGUUGGGACUGAGGAACGCAGUACUUGUACUUCGGAUGCUGGCAUAAUGGCUUUAAUCGACCCGUCUUGAAACACGGACCAAGGAGUCUAACAUGCCUGCGAGUAUUUGGGUGGAAAACCCGAGUGCGUAAUGAAAGUGAAAGUUGAGAUCCCUGUCGUGGGGAGCAUCGACGCCCGGACCUGAAGUUCUCUGACGGUUCUGCGGUAGAGCAUGUAUGUUGGGACCCGAAA
rnacentral:rRNA from 1 species